GUACACUCCUGCGGGAGGCAGCAGUGGGGAAUUUUGGACAAUGGGCGAAAGCCUGAUCCAGCAAUGCCGCGUGAGUGAAGAAGGCCUUCGGGUUGUAAAGCUCUUUUGUCAGGGAAGAAACGGUGAAAGCUAAUAUCUUUUGCUAAUGACGGUACCUGAAGAAUAAGCACCGGCUAACUACGUGCCAGCAGCCGCGGUAAUACGUAGGGUGCAAGCGUUAAUCGGAAUUACUGGGCGUAAAGCGUGCGCAGGCGGUUUUGUAAGUCUGAUGUGAAAUCCCCGGGCUCAACCUGGGAAUUGCAUUGGAGACUGCAAGGCUAGAAUCUGGCAGAGGGGGGUAGAAUUCCACGUGUAGCAGUGAAAUGCGUAGAUAUGUGGAGGAACACCGAUGGCGAAGGCAGCCCCCUGGGUCAAGAUUGACGCUCAUGCACGAAAGCGUGGGGAGCAAACAGGAUUAGAUACCCCUGUAGUCCCAU
rnacentral:rRNA from 1 species